UCGCCCUUAGAGUUUGAUCCUGGCUCAGGAUGAACGCUAGCUACAGGCUUAACACAUGCAAGUCGAGGGGAAACGACAUCGAAAGCUUGCUUUUGAUGGGCGUCGACCGGCGCACGGGUGAGUAACGCGUAUCCAACCUGCCCACCACUUGGGGAUAACCUUGCGAAAGUAAGACUAAUACCCAAUGACAUCUCUAGAAGACAUCUGAAAGAGAUUAAAGAUUUAUCGGUGAUGGAUGGGGAUGCGUCUGAUUAGCUUGUUGGCGGGGUAACGGCCCACCAAGGCGACGAUCAGUAGGGGUUCUGAGAGGAAGGUCCCCCACAUUGGAACUGAGACACGGUCCAAACUCCUACGGGAGGCAGCAGUGAGGAAUAUUGGUCAAUGGACGAGAGUCUGAACCAGCCAAGUAGCGUGCAGGAUGACGGCCCUAUGGGUUGUAAACUGCUUUUAUAAGGGAAUAAAGUGAGUCUCGUGAGACUUUUUGCAUGUACCUUAUGAAUAAGGACCGGCUAAUUCCGUGCCAGCAGCCGCGGUAAUACGGAAGGUCCGGGCGUUAUCCGGAUUUAUUGGGUUUAAAGGGAGCGUACGCCGGAGAUUAAGCGUGUUGUGAAAUGUAGACGCUCAACGUCUGC
rnacentral:rRNA from 1 species